UACGGAGGGGGCUAGCGUUGUUCGGAAUUACUGGGCGUAAAGCGCGCGUAGGCGGCUUUGUAAGUUAGAGGUGAAAGCCCGGAGCUCAACUCCGGAACUGCCUUUAAGACUGCAUCGCUAGAAUUGUGGAGAGGUGAGUGGAAUUCCGAGUGUAGAGGUGAAAUUCGUAGAUAUUCGGAAGAACACCAGUGGCGAAGGCGGCUUUCUGGUCUGCUCUUGACGCUGAGGCGCGAAAGCUAGGGUAGCAAACGGG
rnacentral:rRNA from 1 species